CUGCAAAAAGACCAGCUGCUACAGAGGUUAAGUCUUUCUCUUGCAGCAAAGAGCUACUCUGCAGACCUUCAAUUCCCUGUGAUGUCCAAUCCAAACACGCCACAGGUAUGUCAUACCACAGUAUGAUAUUUUCAUCACACCAGAUUCCUCGCUUUGGCCUUUUUGCACUACAUGUGCUGAUAAAAUACAGGGGGUUGUGAGCUCUUUUGAGGAAACACACUCAGUUUAUUUGAAUAUCCAGCUGCAACUAUAAUAUAUCUGGACAGAGAAAUAGCACAUGCUCUGUCUUGUGCUAAGAAAGCAUCUUACAACUUGCAAAAGGAGAAUCAGUUGGAAUGCAAGCCACAAGGAAGCAAGGCCAGGCCAAAAGAUUGCAGCAAGCCAGUGGCCCAGCUCAGGACUGUGGCACAAGAGAGGCAUUUCCUCUGUCUCCCAUUGACUCGGAUAUGCUGGAUGUAGCUCUUCUAAGAAAAUAAGUGUUUGUUACAGCAGGACGUAACAGUUUCCUACCAGACCAACUCACCUGGAAGACUGGAGGGUUUGAGUACAAAACUAUUAAAAGCUCUGCAAUGCAGAGCAAGAAAAAGGAGUUAUCUCGAUGAGUGCCCUGAGGCCAACAACUGCUGCCUUGGUGAAAGAAACCCACACUACCAUAGUAAGAGCUCUCCUCUUGAAUCAAAAUACAUCUUGUAAAAGCACCUUACACGUGUGGACAAACCUAUUAAAUAAUUAGUAAAUAAGAAAUAAGAGUAUUUAAAAUGGAUGUCCCGAGAAUGUAGCAAAAUACUGAGAACAAGUUGAAAUAAUAAUCUACGUUAAUAAGGCUGAAGAUUCUCUAUGAAGAAAUCUUGUGUAUAAUAUACAGGAAAUAGAAAAUUAGAGCUAUUAUUUCUACAAUGGUGCACACAAAACAUAUACAGAAAUGUAUGUACAAUCACACACAUAGACACAUACAUGAUCCUGAACCCUUUCACAACCCAAGGCAUUUUAAUUUUGCCUCCACACUUUCUGAAAGGCAAAGACUUAAAAUGUUUGCCUCCUAUUCAAUUAUCCUUUCUCAGCCUCUGUUUUUACACAGGUCCUUCUGUUGCAUGGUGGUUACGACAAUUAGUCCAUGAAAAUAUUACACUAUAUAUAGCUACUUGUAUUAUAACACCUUUCAAUAAUUACCUACAAUUUUCA